rnacentral:rRNA from 1 species
UACGUAGGGGGCAAGCGUUGUCCGGAUUUAUUGGGCGUAAAGAGCUCGUAGGCGGUUCCGUAAGUCGGGUGUGAAAAAUCUGGGCUCAACCCAGUGGAGCACCCGAUACUGCGGUGACUCGAGUCCGGUAGGGGAGUGUGGAAUUCCUGGUGUAGCGGUGAAAUGCGCAGAUAUCAGGAAGAACACCCGUGGCGAAAGGCGGCUCUCUGGAACGCAACUGACGCUGAGACGCGAAAGCGUGGGGAGCAAACAGG